rnacentral:rRNA from 1 species
GAUGAGCGCUGGCGGCGUGCCUAAUACAUGCAAGUCGAGCGAACGGACGAGAAGCUUGCUUCUCUGAUGUUAGCGGCGGACGGGUGAGUAACACGUGGAUAACCUACCUAUAAGACUGGGAUAACUUCGGGAAACCGGAGCUAAUACCGGAUGAUAUUUUGAACCGCAUGGUUCAAAAGUGAAAGACGGUCUUGCUGUCACUUAUAGAUGGAUCCGCGCUGCAUUAGCUAGUUGGUAAGGUAACGGCUUACCAAGGCAACGAUGCAUAGCCGACCUGAGAGGGUGAUCGGCCACACUGGAACUGAGACACGGUCCAGACUCCUACGGGAGGCAGCAGUAGGGAAUCUUCCGCAAUGGGCGAAAGCCUGACGGAGCAACGCCGCGUGAGUGAUGAAGGUCUUCGGAUCGUAAAACUCUGUUAUUAGGGAAGAACAUAUGUGUAAGUAACUGUGCACAUCUUGACGGUACCUAAUCAGAAAGCCACGGCUAACUACGUG